rnacentral:tRNA from 1 species
GGGGAUGUGGCUUAGUGGUAGAGUACUUGCCUAACACGUGUGAGGCCCUGGGUUCACAUCCCCUGCACUGCCA